rnacentral:pre_miRNA from 1 species
AAUAAGCGCAACCAUGAGUUUCCGUGUCCAACUUUAAUCAUUCGUCUUAUUUAAUUUUUUAAAAAAAAUUAAAAAAUUAAGUCACACAUAAAUUAUUAUUCAUGUUUUAUAAUCUAAUAACAAUAAAAAUACUAAUAAAAAAAAUUUAAAUAAGACGAACGAUUAAAGUUCGACACGAAAACUCAUGUCUGCGCUUAUU